GAUAAGAUGGCUGAAAAUAGGCGAUAAACUGUAAAUUUAUUUAUGAAUUAUGUUCUCUUAUC
rnacentral:tRNA from 1 species